rnacentral:lncRNA from 12 species
UUUCCCAAAUCUGAAAUAUUUGAUGGAUAUCUGCAUCUUCAACUAUAUUAUAACUCUUACAUAUUGUUUUACAUAUUUCUAAUAUAGCACUUAGAACAUCCCACAAUUAUAGAGUACACUCAUCUUCAACUAAAAUGUGAAUGUUCAAGUACCUGAAGAGUUUUAUUUCCUAAGGAAAAAUGCCAAAAAUGAAUGAGUAUGGUCUACACAGGAUCUCCUUUCAACACCAGUAUUUUCUGUGGUUACAGAAGCAUCUUCAGUCAGUUGUCACAAGAGUCUGACAUCUGUUUUUCUUGA